rnacentral:rRNA from 1 species
CCUACGGGUGGCAGCAGUGGGGAAUCUUGCACAAUGGGGGAAACCCUGAUGCAGCGACGCCGCGUGAGUGAAGGAGUAUUUCGGGAUGUAAAGCUCUAUCAGCAGGGAAGAAAAUGAAGGUGCCUGACUAAGAAGCCCCGGCUAACUCCGUGCCAGCAGCCGCGGUAAUACGUAGGGGGCAAUCUUUAUCCGGAUUUACUGUGUGUAAAGGGAGCGUAGACGUCCAGACAAGUCAGAAGUGAAAGCCGAGGGCUCAACCCUGGGACUGCGUUUGAAACUGCCGGGCUGGAGUGCAGGAGAGGUAAGCGGAAGUCCUGGUGUAGCGGUGAAAUGCGUAGAUAUUAGGAGGAACACCAGUGGCGAAGGCGGCUUACUGGACUGUAACUGACGUUGAGGCUCGAAAGCGUGGGGAGCAAACAGGAUUAGAUACCCGAGUAGUC